rnacentral:rRNA from 1 species
UACGGGGGGGGCAAGCGUUGUUCGGAAUUACUGGGCGUAAAGGGCUCGUAGGCGGCCAACUAAGUCAGACGUGAAAUCCCUCGGCUUAACCGGGGAACUGCGUCUGAUACUGGAUGGCUCGAGUUUGGGAGAGGGAUGCGGAAUUCCAGGUGUAGCGGUGAAAUGCGUAGAUAUCCGGAGGAACACCGGUGGCGAAGGCGGCUUCCUGGACCGACACUGACGCUGAGGCGCGAAAGCUAGGGGAGCAAACGGG